rnacentral:ncRNA from 1 species
CGUAAGAUGGUUCUCGAAUUUGUUUCGAGAUUAAAAGGGAAUUUGGUUAAAAUCCAAGACUGUUCCCGCAACUGUAAACUUUAGCCUUUUCCAAAGGUUUUAUUAAUGCUUCGCCACUGUUCAUAGAAUGGGAAGGUCAUUAAGCAAAGUAAGUCAGGAUACCUGCCUUUUUACAA